UGCAAGUCGCGUGCGCAGUUUCCGUAGCAAUACGGGGAUGGGCGCACGGCGCACGGGUGCGUAACACGUGGGCAAUCUGCCCUCUGAUGGGGAAUAACCCGCCGAAAGGCGGGCUAAUUCCGCAUAACAUUCCUCGGACUUAGGUUUGGGGAUUCAAAGCAGCAAUGCGUCAGAGGAGGAGCCCGCGCCCGAUUAGCUAGUUGGUAGGGUAACGGCCUACCAAGGCUAUGAUCGGUAGCUGGUCUGAGAGGAUGAUCAGCCACACUGGAACUGAGACACGGUCCAGACUCCUACGGGAGGCAGCAGUGGGGAAUCUUGCACAAUGGGCGAAAGCCUGAUGCAGCGACGCCGCGUGGGGGAUGAAGCAUCUCGGUGUGUAAACCCCUUUCGACUGGGAAGAAUGCCUCGCAAGAGGACUGACGGUACCAGUAUAAGAAGCCCCGGCUAACUACGUGCCAGCAGCCGCGGUAAGACGUAGGGGGCCAGCGUUGUUCGGAAUUACUGGGUGUAAAGGGUUCGUAGGCGGUGUGGCAAGUCGGGAGUGAAAUCUCUGGGCUCAACCCAGAGGCUGCUUCCGAAACUGCUGUGCUUGAGUGUGAGAGAGGCUCGUGGAAUUGCAGGUGUAGCGGUGAAAUGCGUAGAUAUCUGCAGGAACACCCGUGGCGAAAGCGGCGAGCUGGAUCACAACUGACGCUGAGGAACGAAAGCUAGGGGAGCAAACAGGAUUAGAUACCCUGGUAGUCCUAGCCCUAAACGAUCAGGACUUGGGGUGCCGCCCGUUCGGGCGUCGUCCCGGAGCUA
rnacentral:rRNA from 1 species